GGCCCGUUCGUCUAGGGGUCAGGACGUUGCCCUUUCACGGCAGAGACACGGGUUCAAUUCCCGUACGGGCUACCA
rnacentral:tRNA from 2 species